rnacentral:misc_RNA from 1 species
AACACUGUUAACCUGCGGUACCUGCGGAAGGAUCAUUACAGAGUUCGUGCCCUCGCGGGUAGAUCUCCCACCCUUGUGUAUUCUCUACAUCUUGUUGCUUUGGCAGGCCGUUGGUUCGCCAACCACCGGCUCGCGGGCUGGUGCGUGCCUGCCAGAGGACCUCUCAAACUCGGUUUGUUAGUGUCGUCUGAGUACCAUAACAAUCGUUAAAACUUUUAACAAUGGAUCUCAGAUCGGAAG